UGGGGAAUAUUGGACAAUGGGCGCAAGCCUGAUCCAGCCAUGCCGCGUGGAUGAUGAAGGCCCUAGGGUUGUAAAGUCCUUUCGGCGGGGAAGAUAAUGACGGUACCCGCAGAAGAAGCCCCGGCUAACUUCGUGCCAGCAGCCGCGGUAAUACGAAGGGGGCUAGCGUUGCUCGGAAUCACUGGGCGUAAAGCGCACGUAGGCGGACUCUUAAGUCGGUGGUGAAAUCCUGGAGCUCAACUCCAGAACUGCCUUCGAUACUGAGAGUCUCGAGUCCGAGAGAGGUGAGUGGAACUGCGAGUGUAGAGGUGAAAUUCGUAGAUAUUCGCAAGAACACCAGUGGCGAAGGCGGCUCACUGGCUCGGUACUGACGCUGAGGUGCGAAAGCGUGGGGAGCAAACAGG
rnacentral:rRNA from 1 species